CCUACGGGGGGCAGCAGUGGGGAAUAUUGGACAAUGGGCGAAAGCCUGAUCCAGCCAUGCCGCGUGUGUGAAGAAGGCCUUCGGGUUGUAAAGCACUUUCAGUGGGGAAGAAAGCCUUGGGGCUAAUACCCUCGAGGAAGGACAUCACCCACAGAAGAAGCACCGGCUAACUCCGUGCCAGCAGCCGCGGUAAUACGGAGGGUGCGAGCGUUAAUCGGAAUUACUGGGCGUAAAGCGCGCGUAGGCGGUCUGAUAAGCCGGUUGUGAAAGCCCCGGGCUCAACCUGGGAACGGCAUCCGGAACUGUCAGGCUAGAGUGCAGGAGAGGAAGGUAGAAUUCCCGGUGUAGCGGUGAAAUGCGUAGAGAUCGGGAGGAAUACCAGUGGCGAAGGCGGCCUUCUGGACUGACACUGACGCUGAGGUGCGAAAGCGUGGGUAGCGAACAGGAUUAGAUACCCGGGUAGUC
rnacentral:rRNA from 1 species